rnacentral:misc_RNA from 1 species
GAUGAAGAACGUAGAGAAAUGCGAUAAGUAAUGUGAAUUGCAGAGUUCAGUGAAUCAUCGAAUCUUUGAACGCACAUUGCGCCCGUCAGUAUUCUGACGGGCAUGCCUGUCCGAGCGUCAUUUCAACCCUCAAGCACUGCUUGGCGUUGGCGGAUUGCGUGCCCUCGCGGCGCUGCAACCGCCCAAAUACAGUGGCGGUCCCGCUGCGGCUCCCUUUGCGUAGUAACUCACCUCGCACUGGACCGGGCGGCGGCCUGCCGUAAAACCCCAACUCACGAAAUGUUGACCUCGGAUCAGGUAGGAAUACCCGCUGAACUUAAGCAUAUCAAUAAGCGGAGGA